rnacentral:rRNA from 1 species
UGGGGAAUAUUGGACAAUGGGCGGAAGCCUGAUCCAGCAACGCCGCGUGAGGGAUGACGGCCUUCGGGUUGUAAACCUCUUUCAGUACCGACGAAGCGAGAGUGACGGUAGGUACAGAAGAAGCACCGGCCAACUACGUGCCAGCAGCCGCGGUAAUACGUAGGGUGCGAGCGUUGUCCGGAAUUAUUGGGCGUAAAGGGCUCGUAGGCGGUUUGUCGCGUCGGGAGUGAAAAUCCAGGGCUUAACUCUGGACUGGCUUCCGAUACGGGCAGACUAGAGGUAUGCAGGGGAGAACGGAAUUCCUGGUGUAGCGGUGAAAUGCGCAGAUAUCAGGAGGAACACCGGUGGCGAAGGCGGUUCUCUGGGCAUUACCUGACGCUGAGGAGCGAAAGUGUGGGGAGCGAACA